GAUGAACGCUGGCGGCGUGCCUAAUACAUGCAAGUCGAGCGAACGGACGAGAAGCUUGCUUCUCUGAUGUUAGCGGCGGACGGGUGAGUAACACGUGGAUAACCUACCUAUAAGACUGGGAUAACUUCGGGAAACCGGAGCUAAUACCGGAUAAUAUUUUGAACCGCAUGGUUCAAAAGUGAAAGACGGUCUUGCUGUCACUUAUAGAUGGAUCCGCGCUGCAUUAGCUAGUUGGUAAGGUAACGGCUUACCAAGGCAACGAUGCAUAGCCGACCUGAGAGGGUGAUCGGCCACACUGGAACUGAGACACGGUCCAGACUCCUACGGGAGGCAGCAGUAGGGAAUCUUCCGCAAUGGGCGAAAGCCUGACGGAGCAACGCCGCGUGAGUGAUGAAGGUCUUCGGAUCGUAAAACUCUGUUAUUAGGGAAGAACAUAUGUGUAAGUAACUGUGCACAUCUUGACGGUACCUAAUCAGAAAGCCACGGCUAACUACGUGCCAGCAGCCGCGGUAAUACGUAGGUGGCAAGCGUUAUCCGGAAUUAUUGGGCGUAAAGCGCGCGUAGGCGGUUUUUUAAGUCUGAUGUGAAAGCCCACGGCUUCACCGUGGAGGGUCAUUGGAAACUGGAAAACUUGAGUGCAGAAGAGAAAAGUGGAAUUCCAUGUGUAGCGGUGAAAUGCGCAGAGAUAUGGAGGAACACCAGUGGCGAAGGCGACUUUCUGGUCUGUAACUGACGCUGAUGUGCGAAAGCGUGGGGAUCAAACAGGAUUAGAUACCCUGGUAGUCCACGCCGUAAACGAUGAGUGCUAAGUGUUAGGGGGUUUCCGCCCCUUAGUGCUGCAGCUAACGCAUUAAGCACUCCGCCUGGGGAGUACGACCGCAAGGUUGAAACUCAAAGGAAUUGACGGGGACCCGCACAAGCGGUGGAGCAUGUGGUUUAAUUCGAAGCAACGCGAAGAACCUUACCAAAUCUUGACAUCCUUUGACAACUCUAGAGAUAGAGCCUUCCCCUUCGGGGGACAAAGUGACAGGUGGUGCAUGGUUGUCGUCAGCUCGUGUCGUGAGAUGUUGGGUUAAGUCCCGCAACGAGCGCAACCCUUAAGCUUAGUUGCCAUCAUUAAGUUGGGCACUCUAAGUUGACUGCCGGUGACAAACCGGAGGAAGGUGGGGAUGACGUCAAAUCAUCAUGCCCCUUAUGAUUUGGGCUACACACGUGCUACAAUGGACAAUACAAAGGGCAGCGAAACCGCGAGGUCAAGCAAAUCCCAUAAAGUUGUUCUCAGUUCGGAUUGUAGUCUGCAACUCGACUACAUGAAGCUGGAAUCGCUAGUAAUCGUAGAUCAGCAUGCUACGGUGAAUACGUUCCCGGGUCU
rnacentral:rRNA from 1 species